UACAGAGGGUGCAAGCGUUAAUCGGAAUUAUUGGGCGUAAAGCGCGCGUAGGCGGCUGAUUAAGUCGGGAGUGAAAGCCCCGGGCUCAACCUCGGAACUGCCUUUGAUACUGCGGGUCUUGAGUCCGAUAGAGGUGGGUGGAAUUCCUAGUGUAGAGGUGAAAUUCGUAGAUAUUAGGAAGAACACCGGUGGCGAAGGCGGCCCGCUGGAUCGGUACUGACGCUGAGGUGCGAAAGCGUGGGGAGCAAACAGG
rnacentral:rRNA from 1 species